GACGAACGCUGGCGGCGUGCCUAAUACAUGCAAGUAGAACGCUGAAGGAGGAGCUUGCUUCUCUGGAUGAGUUGCGAACGGGUGAGUAACGCGUAGGUAACCUGCCUGGUAGCGGGGGAUAACUAUUGGAAACGAUAGCUAAUACCGCAUAAUAGUAGAUGUUGCAUGACAUUUGCUUAAAAGGUGCAAUUGCAUCACUACCAGAUGGACCUGCGUUGUAUUAGCUAGUUGGUGGGGUAACGGCUCACCAAGGCGACGAUACAUAGCCGACCUGAGAGGGUGGGCGGCAACACUGGGAAGGAAACACGGCCCAAACUCAGAGGGGGGGAGGAAGAAGGGAUUAUUGGGAAAGGGAGGAAAGUCGGACGGAGAAACGCGGGGGGAGGGAAGAAGGGUUUGGGAUAAAAAAGCUCUGUUGAAAGAGAAAAACGAGGGGGAGAGGGAAAAGUCCAAACGGGGACGGAAUCUAACCAGAAAGGGAGGGCAAACUACGUC
rnacentral:rRNA from 1 species